UCCGCCUCACCUUUGUAAGAUUACCCGCUGAACUUAAGCAUAUCAGUAAGCGGAGGAAAAGAAACCAACUAGGAUUCCGUCAGUAACGGCGAGUGAAGACGGAAUAGCCCAAGGUUCAAACCUGGAUCUCUUCGAGGCUAGGUGAUGUGACCUAUGGACUGAUGGAGCCCGCUGUUGUGACUGCUAAUUCCGUUUGGAAUUUCGAGUCGUAGAAGGUGAUAACCCUGUUCGCAGUAUCACAACAGUUGGACUUUGCCAUUAGCUCCACGAGUAGGAAUGUCUGAAAUUGCAUUCUGAAUGGGUGAUAAGAUUCAUCCAAGGCUAAAUAUAUGUUAGGAGAUCGAUAGCAUACAAGUACCGUGAGGGAAAGG
rnacentral:rRNA from 1 species